rnacentral:rRNA from 1 species
GGGGAAUUUUGGACAAUGGGCGAAAGCCUGAUCCAGCCAUGCCGCGUGCAGGAUGAAGGCCUUCGGGUUGUAAACUGCUUUUGUACGGAACGAAAAGGUCUUUUCUAAUAAAGAAGGCUCAUGACGGUACCGUAAGAAUAAGCACCGGCUAACUACGUGCCAGCAGCCGCGGUAAUACGUAGGGUGCAAGCGUUAAUCGGAAUUACUGGGCGUAAAGCGUGCGCAGGCGGUUAUAUAAGACAGAUGUGAAAUCCCCGGGCUCAACCUGGGAACUGCAUUAGUGACUGUAUAGCUAGAGUGCGGCAGAGGGGGAUGGAAUUCCGCGUGUAGCAGUGAAAUGCGUAGAGAUCGGGAGGAACAUCAGUGGCGAAGGCGACUGCCUGGGCCAACACUGACACUGAGGCACGAAAGCGUGGGGAGCAAACA